CUUUCUUGCCAUCAUGUGAAGAAAGAUGUGCUUGUUUCCCCUUCCACCAUGAUUGUAAGUUUCCUGAGGCCUCCCCAGCCUGUGGAACUGUGAGUCAAUUAAACUUUUUUUCUUUGUAGAUUACUCAGUCUUGGGCAGUUCUUUACAGCAGCGUGUGAAUGGACUAACACACCAGUUACAUAAAGAAUUGAAAAUAGUCAAACUCCUAGAAGCAGAGAGUGGAAUGGUGAUUACCAGGGGCUUAGGGAAGCAGGAAACCAGGAGGUACACAGCUUCUGCUAUGCAAGACGAGAUGUUGACUUUAUAGUAAAAUGUGAGUCUUCUGUAUGAGACGUAUCAUUUACUGGGAUCUUAAGUGAAUGCUCAAGGUGUGUAGUGAGGUUUCUCCACCGUUGUUAUGUCAGAACACCAACAUCCAUGAGUCCUACAGGACCUCUUGUAUCUCUGUUCAGCUGCCAACUCUGUAGCAAGUCCUCUCUGCAAGGCCUCAAGGAGUCCUUUGUGGAUGCAUGUCCAGCCCUGUACAAGGAUUCAAAGCAUUUCCCGCGUAAACUCUUAGUCAAUGACUCAAGUCAUGCUAUGAGCAACAAUUUCUGUGUUCCACAUCAUCUACAAGCAACACAAUCUGUGACUCUCCAUCUGCCCCUAGUUAUGCUUUGGCCAGUAAUCCAAUUGCUACCGUCAUGCUUUCCUCUUAAAGAGUCCCUGGAUAUUCCUGCCUAGCUUGAGGGAAGUUACUUCAUUAGGGUGAUUUGGGCACUUGGGGAACCUUUGCCAUCUUUAUGACUUAAAUUUUGACUUACCAAAAUAAAUAAGACAUAUAAGGAAAGAACAUAAAUUUAAUAGAAAAAUUCAACAUAUUUCCCCGUGGAUGUCUUAUUUACAUUAAUUUGGCCUCUCCUUUCUGUCCUACUCACCCCUCCUAAAUAGAAAACAAAGUUAAUUAUUUGAUUGGCUGUAUUAGGGAAAGAAUUAGGGCUGAACCUGUUUGUCUUUUGUUCUCUGUUUAUUUGGAAAUCUGAAAUAGCAUCUAUUCUUGGAUUAUCUGUAUCAUAAAUAUUCAAGGUCAGGGAAGGCUGAAAUCUUCAGUUCAUCAAUAACCAGUUGGGUUCAAUGCAGGGGUGCUGAGCAGGAAGCCCACUUUUGCAGAGGAGGGAGCCGUUGUGUGCAAACAGCCUGAUUAGUAAUAAAGGCAGUGAUUUUGUUGUCUAUCUCUUUGGUUUCUCCCCUAUACAUUAAUUAAUUUAAAUGUGGGGUUAGGGAAGACAUUCAGUAAGUCUUUCGAAACCCUAACAACAGUUUACAGAACAAACAUCACAUUUAACACUUUUUUUUUUUUUUUGAGACAGGGUCUCACGCUGUCACCCAGGCUUGAGGGCAGUGGCACAAUCUCUGCUCACUGCAACCUCUGCCUCCCAGGAUCAGGCUAUUCUAAUGCCUCAGCCUCCAGAGUAGCUAGGAUUACAGGCACCCGCCAUCAUGCCUGGCUGAUUUUUGAAUUUUGAGUAGAGAUGGGGUUUCACCAUAUCGGCCAGGCUGGUAAC
rnacentral:lncRNA from 1 species